rnacentral:tRNA from 1 species
GCUGGCAUAGCUCAGCAGGUAGAGCAACUGACUUGUAAUCAGUAGGUCGUGAGUUCGAAGCUUACUGCCAGCACCA